rnacentral:lncRNA from 1 species
ACUAAAUGGCCUGAAGGUUUUUUCCAACUAUGAUAAGCUAUAGUCCUAAAUUGGUGAGGGUUCCUUUUUUGGGAGUUUAUACAGAAACAUCUUUUUAGACUGAUCCCCACACUGUCCUAUCAUGACAGAAGUGUGGCUGUGAAUGAGAAGUAGAGAGGAAUGAAAGCCAUUGCAGGCCCUUGAGGCAGAGUCCCAACUGGACCCUCCCUUCCUCAAGAAGGGUGCUGGUUCUCUCCAUGUGUGCUGCCUUCUCCUACCCCCAUGAAGAAUAAUUGCACACUUUGUGCUGGCUCCUGAGGCAGAAACCAGACCCCAGUCCCAGGGUUGUCAAGUGGCAUUCCUGACUCAGGAGCUCCAUCCAAUUCCAAACAAUUAGAAAAUUUAAUCAGCAUUGCAGAAGGCACACACUAAUGCCAUUAAAGGCAAGAUCUCCCAGGGCAGUCUGGGAGGAGCAGAAGGGAAGACAAAGCGGAGUGGACUCAGCCUCAAGGUCACUGUGUCCUCCUCCACUGAAUUGCCUGAGAGGGAUGGUUCUGAGGCAAUGCUGUUGUUCCCAGGGGUGGACAGCAGUGCCAGGCACUUACUCUCCUAAGCCUCAGUUUCCACAUUUGAAAAUAGAGACAAUUGGCCUGGCACGGUGGCUCAUGCCUGUAAUCCCAGCACUUUGGGAGGCUGAGGUGGGCAGAUCACGAGGUCAAGAGAUCGAG